rnacentral:rRNA from 1 species
GAUGAACGCUAGCUACAGGCUUAAUACAUGCAAGUCGAGGGGAAACGACAUCGAAAGCUUGCUUUUGAUGGGCGUCGACCGGCGCACGGGUGAGUAACGCGUAUCCAACCUGCCCAUCACUUGGGAAUAACCUUGCGAAAGUAAGACUAAUACCCAAUGACAUCCCACGAAGACAUCUGAAUGGGAUUAAAGAUUUAUCGGUGAUGGAUGGGGAUGCGUCUGAUUAGCUUGUUGGCGGGGUAACGGCCCACCAAGGCAACGAUCAGUAGGGGUUCUGAGAGGAAGGUCCCCCACAUUGGAACUGAGACACGGUCCAAACUCCUACGGGAGGCAGCAGUGAGGAAUAUUGGUCAAUGGGCGAGAGCCUGAACCAGCCAAGUAGCGUGCAGGAUGACGGCCCUAUGGGUUGUAAACUGCUUUUAUAAGGGAAUAAAGUGGGUCUCGUGAGACUUUUUGCAUGUACCUUAUGAAUAAGGACCGGCUAAUUCCGUG